rnacentral:lncRNA from 1 species
AGGGGGGAUUAGCAUGAGAUUUAAAACCAAAAGGGUGUAUUUGUAAAAUUAAAAAUGAACUAAGCAUUGGACAUCUUUUUCGGACGGAGGGAGUAUAUAAUAAGACCGCACGCCAACUUUCAACCCAAUCCAAGAAAGUUUCAUACACAACUUUUAAAACAAUAUUUUAACAAUGUCGUGGGCGCGUGUGUGUGUGGUUGGUCUCGAAACGGUCAACGACAAAAAUGGAGAGAACCGGGAAUUGACAACGAGUGCAAGUAUUAAAAAAAUGACAACAAUGCAGUGUCGAUGCAAUACGCAUGAUGCAAUGAUGAAUGCAACAAUAAAAUAAUUAACACGACGACAACGAAUAAAAAGGGAAUCUUCUAGAGCAUCGGUUCUGAGCUAUUACACGCGCCAUUUUGGCUUGUGGGCCCCUCGUGAGUCCUCCAACCUUCUUCCAGUGCUCGUUGAUCUUCUUAUGGUCCAUAAAAAAUCAUCAUAAGGUUUCAGGGAAAUUUGACUUUGUUUGGUAUGGAAAACCUGAAAAGUGAAAAACACACAGAAAACAACAACUCGCACAAGGCACCGGGUCACUAGGUUAGUUCUAAAAAAUAAUAUAAAUUGGGAAAAAAAUACCCCAAAAGUAUUUUAGAAUGAUAAUAUAUCAGCAUGAAACAAUUAAAAAUUAUAGAUACGUUGGACACGUAUCAGGAGCGCUCAAUAUGGAACAUAACACCAGUACACAAGUAACUAGGGCGACAAUGGUGGAAUAUAACACCAAGCUAAAGACCAAGCCUUCCACCUUUUACCAAGUAUAUAUGUUCAUUAAAUUAAAUAGAAGUAAUAUUGUUAUAUCCCAAGAUAUCCAUUAUAUCGCAUGAAAACUACUUGGACCUACAACUAGCAACGCUAUAAGAAGUGCUGAGAAAACGGUAACUUAGCCAUUCAAUGGUUUUUUUGGAUGUAGAUGGGUUACAGGGUUUUCAUGGCAUUUGGGAGGCUUGACAAACAAGUGGUAGCAAGUCAGACAUAGCGAUAGCAACGAGACAACUAGUAUUACAAUGAUAAUCGUGGUAUCCAGGAAAAUGGUCUUCCUGUUUAAGAUCCCGCUUGGAAGAAGAACGAAUCCGUGAAGUAGAUGAACGGGCAUAGUCGGAAUAAUCCUUACUGUCUGAAACACUUUCGUAACUCUAGCGAGGAGAACAAAAUUAGGUAACACACAAAUGACAUGAUAAACACCACAACAUAUGCAUGCCAUGACGCACAAUGAAAUAUGAUGCAUGUCUAUUUAAUUAUGCAUCGCAUGGCAAGGUGCAACAAUCAAACACUACAAGUUAAGUGAACUUCAAUAUGCGGGGAGUUACAUAUUAACAAAACUCCAUGUUCGAAUCAUUUAGAUCACUCUUGUUUAUUUACAUGGAAAAUUUAAAUGUUGUUAAACAUGUCUUUAGGUGAAUCAUAAAUACUAUUUAUCUAGUCAUUUUAAAUGAAGCCGAAAACAACACACAACAUUUCCGAAAUAACCUCAAAUGUGUAUGAUGAAUUUGGUCCUGUUUUGCCUAAUCAUAUAUUAUAUUUAUGAAAUAAGAAAAUAAAGUGCACUGUGUUAUUCUACGUGAUUUUUUAGGCAAGUUACUAGAACAUUUGAAAUGGAGCUAUGGUUAUUUAGUUAUGAAAUAAAACAUUUUACCAUGACAUUUACACAAAUUUUAAAAAACGACAAGUUUAAACACUUUUAACAUGGUUUAAAGUUUUAUAUUAUUAAUCUAAAUAAAAUUAUGAAAAUUUUACAUAUAAGACAUGUUUUAAUCUCAUUCACGGUUAACUAUUUAUUAGUAUUUUAAAACACGGGCAUUUAUGCACUUAUACAUGGGUUGAUUAAUUGCUAAAUUCGUUGGGACAUAAAAAAAGUAUAUGGGACCAAUCCUACUGCUACCGGGCCAACAGAUCUAAGUGCGUCAUCAUUAUAGCAGAAAAAUGAAUGAAACAAAAUGUGAGGUUAACCAGGGAUUCAAACCCAGGACCCCCUCGGUCACAUUGCAAGGCACUUGCAAAGUUGCAAGUGCGCAUCUGAGGUACUUAUGGGAAAACGAGGAGCGUUACAUUCUUUGAACCGAAUCACAGGCAAAGCGUUGAUUGUGAAUGAACGCACGGGGAUCUCACCAUCAGAGGAGUAGAUGAAAGGGGCAACGAGGAUCACCGAGGAGGUCCGGGGCGCGCAGCUUGAGGCGAGGCCGGUCUUGAUGUGGGCACGGUAGGGCGAGGUCCAAGGAGGCGGGGCCGAGGAAAAUCGGGGGGUGACUAACCUGGAUCCGGCCAGAGGAGAUGCGACGGUGGCACGCAAUGGCGAUACCAAGGUGUGGCGGUGCACCAUGCGGGCUGCAGAGGGAAAUGGAGAGAGAGGUUAGUGUUUGAGGACAGAUAAGAGGUAGGGAAGGAGAGGGAAGAUGAGAUGCAAGGGAGCGGCGCUCGUUCUGGCGGAGAUCUGACGGGGAGGUCACACGCGACGAGGUCUUCAAUGGCGGGGUGGUGGAGCGCCGGUGGUAGAAGGCGAGCGCACGUGGAGGGAGCCGGGCGCACUGGCAGGGCGAGCUCGGGCGCACGACAGCUCCCCUCGCGCUAGAUUCAGCCCGAGGGACA